UAACGAGAAAAGGGAAGAGCCGUUUCAAAGACCAAUCUCAUUUACCAUUUCCAGUACUACUACUACUACUCUACCAUCCUGGAACUGGAACGAAGUUUAACCAGCAAUUUCAGCAACCGGUAAAGAUGAUUUCCUGCAGCAGCAGCAGCACUGUGACCAUCACAGUUAAUGUUAUAGGAGUACUGUAUGUAUGGGGUUUUAACCAGUAUUUGGGCCGUGUGACCUCUUUUGGAGUAUAACAAAGCCAUGAAUCUGGCCAAUGGACAAAAUCUACAGCUAUUGCAGUGAAGUCAUUUGGAAGCCCUCUCUUAAUCUACCCUAGAGAUGAGUUGAAACCACCCUUUUGGAACAUCGGGAACAAGCAGACGCUCAAGCAGCGACUUUACCCAUCAGCGUUCUUGACUUUCUGUGAUUAUUGGGGUGUAUGGUUGCUCAUUAUGGGUAAUGUCUGCCUGUGAGAAUCAUUUGCUGACAGGAUCUACGACCAUUACAUAGAAAAGAAAUAAUGAACGGACCCUUGUUUUGUACAACACAUCAGUAUCUCCAUUGGGUUAUAAACAAGGCUCUAUCCUAUUUGCUAGUAGGGACAGACAACAGAUGGACAUUGGUUGCAACAGUUGAUUUUCAGCUCGUGGGAUAAAUCAGAAGAAAAUAGGCUUGGAUGGUAGUUGAAAUUGUUGCACCUUUGAUUUCACAUAAAAUGGGUGUUAUCACCUCGGCUCUCUAAGCAACAAAAUUAGUCCGUUUCAUGUUUGGUAUUGAAAGUAACUGAACUUUUUUUUUUUUGCUUCUUAGUUCAGUGUAUUUGCUUAUCAUGCAAUGAAUUGUAUUUCAAAUUGUAUUUCAAUUAUUUUCUUGUUUAGGAUAUAAGCAUAGAUGUGAGUGUUCAGAGCAUACUGUAUUGCCCUUAAUUUUGAGUACAGUGGCACCUCAGUUUUCGUACAUAAUCCAUUCCAGAAGGUCUGACGAAAACCAAAUCUUUCGAAAAGUGAACCAGUAAUCCUCAUAAGAAAUAAUGUAAAUCCCAUUAACCUGUUCCAGACACCAAAAAGUAUUAACAAAAAAUGCAUUUUAUAGAGCAUCACUUUUACCUUUAUUGAAGACUUGUUGGCAUAUGGAAGAAGGCGAAGAGGGGGGAGGGAGGAGGCGAGUUAUUGUUUGGAAGGCAAAUCCCCCUCCAUAAGAAUUCAGGUAUCAAGGCCCUGUCUUGGGUUACUUGGACCCCUGUCACACAAAAUAUCUGUCCAGGGACAUCUGUUUCUAGUACCUUUAAGAUUUGCCUAAAAUGGAAGAAGCCAUUGUCAUUGAACAUGUUGCAGACAUUGCUUGCACAUCUUUAUUAGGGUGACAUUUCUCCACAAAACUUUUAAUGACUUAAUAAGGCACUUUAUCCCCUCUCUCUUCCUCCUUUUAUUCAUCAUCUGCCGUCUGUUGCUGUUCCAGUUGAAGGUCUUGCAGCUUUUCAGUGGUUAGCUCUUCCCUGUUGUCGUCCAACAACUUUUCUACAUCCUGGCCACACAUCCAACCCCAUGGACUUCCCCAAAAACACAGUAAAUUCCACAACAGGCAUCCGGUCUUUAGGGUUAGGCUCAAACCCUGCAAAAUUCUUCUCGAUGACACAUUGUGGCCACAAUUUUCUCCUAGCAGAGUUCAUCAUCCUGGAAGUCACUCCUUGCCCAGCCUUAUCUAUAAGGCUGCAGUUGAGGAUAUUGAAGUGAUUCCUCCAAAACUCUCUUAGGGUGAUUUCGGUGUUGGAGGUCACUUCAAAGCAUCUUGGAAAUGGUGCUUUGGUGUACAGUUUUUUGAAGUUUGAAUGACCAUCUGAUCCAUGAGCAGGAUGAAAGGAGUGGUAUUAUGAAACUAAACUCCUCCAACAAUUAGUCUUCCAAGCCUAGAGGAUGAGCAGGAUUAUUGUCCAUUACCAGAAGGCACUUAGUGGCAAUUGAUUUUCCAGGAGGUAUUUCUUCACUUGGCCAAACGCAGUGAAAAUUUGCUUUGUGACCCAUGCCUUUUUGAUAGUCUUUCUCAUCACACAAUUUACUCUUGAUAACUGUUUUUCUUGAACAUGCUAGUGUUUCCACAGAACAAAAGAGUUAGCCAAUCGUUCAUAGACUUGUGUCCUGGCAAUGUAUUUUCCUCCUGCGUGAUGUAGGUUCUCUGGCAUAUUUUUUCCAAAAGAGCCCUGUUUUGUCACAAUUGGACUUGGGAGGAGGAAUCCUUCAGACUAUGAAUUUCUUGACUUUAUCAAUGAAUUCUUCGGCCCUAUGUUUGUCCGAACUUGCAGCCUCCCCAUGCCUUACCACACUGUGUAUAUCAGUUUGCAUUUGGAAUUUGUAGAACCAGCCUCUGCAGGAACCAAUUAAGACUGAGGGUAGCUUUAUUUCUCAUAAGUGGAGACUUUAUGACACCCACAAGUGUUGCAUCAUUGGAAUACUGAGCAAUGUUGUUCUGCAGCCCAACAACCAAAUCAUUUGUAUAUAGUAUAUACAAAAAAUAACAUGCUGCCCUGUGGAACUUCAGACACACUAGGUCUUGGUUCACUGCAGAUCCCAUCUACAUUAACUCACUGCUGGCUACCUUUAAGGAAAUCUUGAAGUAAUCGUAAAACAUAUGCACCCACUCCAAGAUUCACAAGUGCCUUGUGAUUUACUAAAUCAAAAACAGCACUAAAAUCUAUUUGAAUUACUCUGCACUCAAAACCCUUUUCAGGGUCUUGAAAUGGUAUGUCAAAUCUAAAAGAGGAUUGCAGGUACCCAUCUGCUUCCUGUGUGCAUAUUGACUAUCGGCGAACAAUCCUUUAGAUUCCACUUACCCUACUUAUACGUAUAGUGGCUUAAAGAUAAGUUUUUAUACAUUCAACUUCCCUGUCAGAUAUAUACUUAGCUAUAGACUCCGUCGUCCCCGAUAGAAAUUCGAAUUUCGCGGCACACUACAGGUAGGUCAGGUGAUCUACCGCCCCGCCGCUGGAUGGCGGGAAUAGGAACCAUUCCCGUUUUCUAAGUCAGAUUUUCUUUAUCAGCCGGGACAUCAACAUUGUUGUUGUUCCUCCUGAUUUGAUUUUCGUGUUUUUUCAUCGCUAUUGAUCUUCUAAGCCGGUCUUUUUGGUGACGUAUUGGAUCUUUGGUUGGGCAUACUCUUUCGUGGACUGUUAUUUGGACUUGAUUUUGGAUUUUUCUUAUAAUGUCGGACUCUAGCUUUUCGGUUAGAAGACAGUGUGUGAAUGAGGGAUGUAUGGUGAGGCUACUGAAAGCUUCGGCUGACCCUCACACAGUUUGUAAGGGGUGUAGACAGAAUUAAUGCUCUGUAUCUAACACCUGUAAUGAAUGUGUAGGUUUGAAUGAGGAAGAGUGGAAGAAUUUGAAUUCCUAUUUAAGAAAAUUGGAAAUGGAUAGGGCUAGGAAGGCUUCCUCCAGAAGCGUAAGUCGGUCUCGUUCUAGCGAGCCUAUUGAUAUAUCACCUAACCCUAAACAUGUAAUUACUUCCUCUGCUAAUACCAAGACUGCAAACCCAGAAAAGGAAAUUGCAGAUCUUAAGGCUGCACUUCAAAGGAUGGAAAGUCAGAUGCAAACUUUAAAAGGUAAGCACAGUGAUAGUGACGUAAGUGUACCCAGUGCAGUGGAGGGUGCGUCUGAUCGGCUUCAUCUCGCUCCCAGGCCUAGACCGCUUCCAAGCUCACAGGCCCAGAGGAGAAGGAAUGUCAAAAGCCUUACGGAGGUUAUGGAGAAUCCCCACCGAUCAGGCGUCCCCUCGGCAGAUUCUGUGACGACCCGAACUGCCAAGGAUCGCUAUAGGAAAAGCAUCCUAAAACAGUGUUUUUCUUCUUCGGAUUCUUCUCCACAAAGGAAGGGCUGGAGUUCUGACGAACUUUCACGCCCCUUGAAAAGAAGUUGGAAAGCUCCAACGUUGGAUUCAAGUCUUGAGUUUUUCCCUGAAGGAUCUCCUUGCGAAAAGAAAAAAGCCAGGUAUAUUCCAACUCUCAACUCGGAGUCUCCUUCCUCCUCAAGACCUCCUUCACCGACAUCGGAAAAGGAAGAAGAGAAUGCUGCGGCUAAAAUUCUACAAAAAAUGCAGGAGCAGAUCUCCUCUUUAGUAGGAGUUCUUACGUAGACUUCCAGAAGAAAGGACUCUUUCCUUCCCAUUAAAAAAUCUACAGCUACUCCUCGGACAGGAGGUAGAAAGAAUGCGCCAAAAGCGCCAGUAAAGCCAUCCUGGCGCAAUGCGCCAGAAGAGCCAGAAGCGCCAACAUGGCACAAUGCGCCUAAAGCGCCAGCCUGGCGCAAUGCGCCAGAAGCGCCAGCCAGGCGCCAGAAUUUACGAUCGUCUUCCAAACGACUUUUGAACAGAGAGGAUUCUUCUAGCUUUCAGCGGGAUCAGACUUUACCUGACAGGGACUCUAGACGUCGCACAGGCGGCCAUAGCCCCUGUCAGGAUAGAGCUUUUUCUGUUGAGAGCGAUACGAGAGGACAUCCUUCUUAUGACAGGAGAGAAAGACGUCGCACAGGCGGCCAUCACUCUUGCCAGGAGAAGGAGACAGUCUUGUUGCAGGAUCAGCCUAUCUCUCGUAAGGACGCAAGUUGUCGCACAGGCGACCGUCGUUCUUGCAAGAGUGGGGUAGAUGUUGCAAGGGACUCAUCUCCUAUGGAAAAGAAUCAAUCCUCUUCGGAGAUUGAAUUUGAUUUUGAAGAUGUGUCGGAUUCAGAAGAUCGUGCGGCUGCAGGCUUAUCGGACUAUAAGACGCUAGCAGCCCUCUUACUUCAAGAGUUUGGAGACUCAUUAAGCCAUACUGCCCCACCUUUGCCUAGAUCUUUGUUUACCAGUACUAAGGUCUCAAAAUCGUCCUCUUUCAUUAAGAUGAAACCAACCAUUUCGAUGAAGAAGGCGCUUUGUUUUGUCGGAAACUGGUUUAAAACCCAGAAGGAAGCGGGGAGAACUGUCUUUGCCUGCCCUCCUUCCAAACUGGCAGGGAAGAGAGGUAUCUGGUAUGAGACGGGAGAAUCAUUGGGUCUUACUCUCCCGACCUCUGCCGAUGCAGAUUUUUCAAACCUUGUGGACGCUUCAAGAAGACAAGCCUUGUCAUCAGCUAAGAUCACAUGGGGGACUUCUGAAAUGGACCAUCUCCUCAAGGGAUUAGUUUUCAUGUAUUAGAAGUUUUUAACUUCUUAGACUGGUCCCUUGGGGUGUUGGCUAAGAAAACUCAGGAAUCGGAGUUGCUGAGCCCAGAAGUCCUUUAUAAUGUUCUGUCCUGCAUGGACAAAGCGGUCCAGGAUGGAUCAGGAGAAGUGGCGUCUCUCUUCGGAACGGGAAUUCUAAAGAAAAGGACAUUAUUUAGUUCGUUUUUGACAAAAGCAGUUACUACUAUCCAGAGGUCGUCCCAGCUUUAUGCUCCGCUAUCGGAUCAAUUGUUCACUUCACAAUUAGUAAGAGACAUUUCCCAUUCUUUGGCUGAAAAGGCCACACAGGAUCUUUUGGCCCAAUCCACAAAGAAAGCGAGGACAUCCGUGCCUGUGAAGAGAGAGACUAGUACUCCUCAACAGCCCUUUCGAGGGAGUUCCUCUUCUAGACCCUCCUCUAAGAAGAGAGGAAUAACAAAAUGAGGUAGGUCUGCAUUCAGACCUAUCAAGAAAGCCAAAUGAGAUUCCAGUCCUUCAAGCACCGGUAGGAGCCAGACUUCUGCAAUUUUCAGAAGAAUGGGCUCGGAGAGAGGCAGACAGCUGGUCUCUGUCAGUAGUAACGAAGGGAUAUCUUAUCCCCUUUCGAGACAGGCCUCCUCUAACGACGACCCCGAGGGAACUGUCGGCCAAGUACAGGGACCCUGCCAUGAGAGAAGCACUUUUAAACCUUGUAGAUCAGAUGUUGCAAAAGGAGGCCAUCGAAUUGGUCCGGGAUCCGCAUUCCCAAGGAUUCGACAACCGUCUUUUUCUGGUUCCGAAAUCCUCGGGAGGGUGGAGACCGGUUCUGGAUGUGAGCGCUUUGAACUGUUUCGUAGAGAACACAAAGUUCUCUAUGGAAACGUCCAAGUCAGUUCUUGCGGCUCUUCGUCCCGGAGAUUGGAUGGUCUCCUUGGAUCUGCAGGAUGCUUACUUUCAUGUUCCCCUGCAUCCCUCAUCGAAGAAGUUUCUUCGAUUCAUGAUGCAGGGCAAAGUAUUCCAAUUCAGGGCCCUGUGCUUCGGCCUUUCUACAGCCCCUCAAGUUUUCACGGCCAUAAUGAAGAAUGUUGCGAAAUGGCUACAUCUGAAAGGGAUAAGUAUAUCUCUUUAUCUAGACGAUUGGCUGAUAAGAGCUUGA